rnacentral:rRNA from 1 species
UACAGAGGUGGCAAGCGUUGUUCGGAAUUACUGGGCGUAAAGGGCGCGUAGGCGGCCUUCUAAGUCAGACGUGAAAUCCCCCGGCUUAACCUGGGAACUGCGUCUGAUACUGGGAGGCUUGAGUAUGGGAGAGGGAUGUAGAAUUCCAGGUGUAGCGGUGAAAUGCGUAGAUAUCUGGAGGAAUACCGGUGGCGAAGGCGGCAACCUGGACCAUAACUGACGCUGAGGCGCGAAAGCUAGGGGAGCAAACGGG